rnacentral:rRNA from 1 species
UACGUAGGGUGCAAGCGUUAUCCGGAAUUAUUGGGCGUAAAGAGCUCGUAGGCGGUUUGUCACGUCUGCUGUGAAAACUGGAGGCUCAACCUCCAGCCUGCAGUGGGUACGGGCAGACUAGAGUGCGGUAGGGGAGAUCGGAACUCCUGGUGUAGCGGUGAAAUGCGCAGAUAUCAGGAGGAACACCGGUGGCGAAGGCGGAUCUCUGGGCCGUAACUGACGCUGGAGGAGCGGAAAGCAUGGGGAGCGAACAGG